UCUGGUUGAUCCUGCCAGAGGUCACCGCUAUUGGAUUUCGAUUAAGCCAUGCGAGUCGAGAGGGUUCGGCCCUCGGCAUACGGCUCAGUAACACGUGGAUAAUCUGCCCUUGGGUGGGGAAUAAUCUCGGGAAACUGAGGACAAUACCCCAUAGGUCUGGGAUGCUGGAAUGCUCCCAGGCUCAAAGCUCCGGCGCCCAAGGAUGAGUCUGCGACCUAUCAGGUUGUAGUGAGUGUAAGGUACUUACUAGCCGACGACGGGUACGGGUCUUGAGAGAGAUUGCCCGGAGAUGGAUUCUGAGACACGAAUCCAGGCCCUACGGGGCGCAGCAGGCGCGAAAACUUCGCACUGCGGGAAACCGCGAUGAGGGAAAUCCAAGUGACUAUGCACUGCAUAGCCUGUUUUCUUGUCUAACAAACAAGGAGAGUAAGGGCUGGGUAAGACUGGUGCCAGCCGCCGCGGUAAUACCAGCAGCCCGAGUGGUGAUCGCUAUUAUUGGGCCUAAAGCGUCCGUAGCCGGUUUGGUAAAUCCUUGGGUAAAUCGAUGGGCUUAACUCAUCGACUUCUGAGGAGACUGCCAGACUUGGAACUGGGAGAGGUCGGAGGUACUCCGGGGGUAGGGGUGAAAUCCUGUAAUCCUCGGGGGACCACCAGUGGCGAAGGCGUCCGACUAGAACGGGUUCGACGGUAAGGGACGAAGCCGUGGGGCACAAACCGGAUUAGAUACCCGGGUAGUCCACGGUGUAAACGCUGCGGGCUUGGUGUUGGGGGUCCUACGAGGGUGUCCAGUGCCGGAGAGAAGUUGUUAAGCCCGCCGCCUGGGGAGUACGAUCGCAAGAUUGAAACUUAAAGGAAUUGGCGGGGGAGCACUGCAACGGGUGGAGCGUGCGGUUCAAUUGGAUUCAACGCCGGAAAACUCACCAGGAGCGACUGUUACAUGAAGGUCAAGCUGAUGACUUUACCUGAUUUUCAGAGAGGUGGUGCAUGGCCGCCGCCAGUUCGUACCGCAAGGCGUUCUGUUAAGUCAGAUAACGAACGAGACCCCCAUCCUUAAUUGCUAACUUGCCCUCCGGGGUAGGAGAACAUUAAGGGGACCGCUGGUGCUAAAUCAGAGGAAGGGGGGGGCAACGGUAGGUCAGUAUGCCCCGAAUCUCCUGGGCUACACGCGCGCUACAAAGACCGGGACAAAGAGUUCCGACAUCGAAAGAUGCAGGCAAUCUCCAAACCCGGCCGUAGUUUGGAUUGAGGGCUGUAACUCGCCCUCAUGAAACUGGAAUCCGUAGUAAUCGUGGGUCAACAUCCCACGGUGAAUAUGCCCCUGCUCCUUGCACACACCGCCCGUCAAACCAUCUGAGUGGGGUGAAGAUGAGGGUUCGUCUACCUGGCGUACUCGAAUCUUUGUUCUGCAAGGAGGGUUAAGUCGUAACAAGGUA
rnacentral:rRNA from 1 species